UUGCAGGGACGAUCCUUCAGAGAUAAACAUCUCAGACGAAAUGCCUAAGACGACUGUAUGGAAAGCUCUCAGCAUGAAUACAGAAAAUCUCUAAAUCCCAGGAGAGGAGUUUUUCCAUUUAGGGCCCUUGACUUUGGCGGCGGGGGAGGAGACCGUGAAGAUGACUCAGGGAUGAGCCAAGAUGUACAGACACGGGGAGAAAAUACUCUUAAAAACGGAGAAAGGGGGGGAAAAAACCCACCGCUCUCCUCUGGUACUUUUUUCAUUCAAGUAACUGGAUUCACAUUAAAGCCAUUCAGACAUUUUCAAUGAUCUUUGGUGUGCUUCGGUGGGCGUUUAUUCUCUUCAGACCAGCAAGCUGAGGUGGCCAAUGCAAUUGAUGACAAUUCAGUGUUAUUAAGCCUCUCUCUGUGUGUGCGUGCGUGUGUUCUGUUCUCUUCGUGGUAGAGAGAUUGCUACCGCACAGCCAUUGAGCGGGAUAGAUUUUUCCAUCUGAUUUUCUUUUAAAAAUAUAAACUCUGAAUGUA